CAGAUCCUGCACUAGAAAUUCCUCCCAGAUGAGGGCUUUUUAUUUUCCCCUCCUGUGAGAAAUAAACAAGAAGAAAGGAGAAGAUGGAUUUUUGUAAUUUAGUUUCAUGAUUUUAAGGACCAAAUCUCAGCUUUAUUUCUCUAGAAUAGGAAAUAGAGAUAUCGUUGUCAUCUUAUGUUUUUUCUCACUUGAUCUGAUCUAUGAUCUGUUGAAACUGGAUCAUCUGUUCUUGCAAGUGAGGUUUUGUUGCUACAUUUCUGAACUUCAAAAUUAGAAAAAUAAUAUCCUGAAGCUUCUAAUACUUACAGUUGAGCAGGUUUUAUAUUCUGUUUACACUUACCAUUUUACAUAAAUCUUUAUGCCUUUUAUUUAGAAGACAAGAUAAAAAUUAAAAGAGAAAAAUUAUCCCACAUACACAUAAUACCUCUCUAUGGACUAUUCUUUUGUGGAAUAAGGUAGGUGGGAGAAUGGAGAGUAGCAGACCCAUUAGAAUACAAAAUGUAUGUCCUGGAAUACACUUGUGUCAGUGACAAAUGCUGCUUUGCUGUGCUACACCGAGUACAAGUCCAGUGAUUCAAGUUUGACACACCACACCACAGUGGAUGUGCCUUGUCAUGACACAACUUCUCAGCAGCACUAGAAGAUACAUCCGAAGUCCUGUGAGCAAGGACACAGCGAGAAGAUGGCUGUCUACAAGCCAGGGAGAGAGUCCUCACCAGAACCAAACCCUGCUGGACUUUGAUCUUGGACUUCCCAGCCUCUAAAACUGUGAAGACAUAAAUUUCUGUUGUUUAACCCA
rnacentral:lncRNA from 1 species